UGGGUUCCAGGAGUAGCCCCAGGAAACUGACCCUCAGAAUGGACUCUGAAGAUUGAGAUAGCCAAGAAUCAAUUGUUCAACACUUACCAGCAAGCCACUAGUUGCUCAUCUAUUUGCAUUGCCCCGUAAUACCUAUCUUGCCAAGGGGAAAUGGCACACAGGUAAUCCGUGGCACACUUUGAUGUGUUAUUACUCAAAUUAUGAACAGUGCUGGCAUGAGACAAAGUUCAAGUUGAGGGCAAAGUGUAGAGAGACUUUGAUCCUAUAGUGAUUCUAAAUAUUGGGGCUAAGUGAGGACGCAGCAAAGAAGGUAGCCAUCUGCAAGCCCAAGGCCAGAAAGCUUGAAAAUCAGGUGGUGAGGAAGGCUGAGGAUGAGGUGCUGAUAUCUAUGCAGAUCCAGGAAG
rnacentral:lncRNA from 1 species